AACAAGGAUUCCCCUAGUAACUGCGAGUGAAGCGGGAAAAGCUCAAAUUUAAAAUCUGGCAGUCUUUGGCUGUCCGAGUUGUAAUCUAGAGAAGUAUUAUCCGCGCUGGACCGUGUACAAGUCUCCUGGAAUGGGGCGUCAUAGAGGGUGAGAAUCCCGUCUUUGACACGGACUGCCAGGGCUUUGUGAUGUGCUCUCAAAGAGUCGAGUUGUUUGGGAAUGCAGCUCAAAAUGGGUGGUAAAUUCCAUCUAAAGCUAAAUAUUGGCGAGAGACCGAUAGCGAACAAGUACCGUGAGGGAAAGAUGAAAAGAACUUUGGAAAGAGAGUUAAACAGUACGUGAAAUUGCUGAAAGGGAAACGCUUGAAGUCAGUCGCGUUGGCCAGGGAUCAACCUUGCUUUUUUGCUUGGCUUACUUUCUGGUCGAUGGGUCAGCAUCAAUUUUGACUGGUGGAAAAAGUUCAAGGGAAUGUGGCAUCUUCGGAUGUGUUAUAGCCUUUGUUCGCAUACAUUGGUUGGGAUUGAGGAACUCAGCACGCCGCAAGGCCGGGUUUUUAACCACGUACGUGCUUAGGAUGCUGGCAUAAUGGCUUUAAUCGACCCGUCUUGAAACACGGACCAAGGAGUCUAACAUGCCUGCGAGUGUUUGGGUGAAAAACCCGAGCGCGUAAUGAAAGUGAAAGUUGAGAUCCCUGUCGUGGGGAGCAUUGACGCCCGGAUCUGACCUUUUGUGACGAUUCUGCGGUAGAGCAUGUAUGUUGGGACCCGAAAGAUGGUGAACUAUGCCUGAAUAGGGUGAAGCCAGAGGAAACUCUGGUGGAGGCUCGUAGCGAUUCUGACGUGCAAAUCGAUCGUCAAAUUUGGGUAUAGGGGCGAAAGACUAAUCGACAUCUAGUAGCUGGUC
rnacentral:rRNA from 1 species